UACCUGGUUGAUCCUGCCGAUAGCAUAUGCUUGUCUCAAAGAUUAAGCCAUGCAUGUCUAAG
rnacentral:rRNA from 1 species